rnacentral:misc_RNA from 1 species
CAAGAAUGUUAACUCCCGGAGCAAUCAAGUCCGGCUUAAGAAUCUCUGGGUUCAAACCAUUUGGCCCUCUACCGGAAAACGAUGCCACAACGGGAGCCGGUUUGAUUCCAAUGACGGUGCCUUUGAAAUCAAUAGUUGCAGUAGGAUUAGGCGUGGAAGAAAUAUAUGCCUUAACGGCAUCAGCCUCGUCAGACCCAACAGCACAAGCAGGAAUCAGGUGAGCAUCUCCAACAAGCCCUUCACCGUUGGAAAUUCCAUU